rnacentral:rRNA from 1 species
AUACGGAGGGUGCAAGCGUUGUUCGGAAUUACUGGGCGUAAAGCGCGCGUAGGUGGUCUGUUAUGUCAGAUGUGAAAGUCCACGGCUCAACCGUGGAAGUGCAUUUGAAACUGGCAGACUUGAGUACUGGAGGGGGUAGUGGAAUUCCCGGUGUAGAGGUGAAAUUCGUAGAUAUCGGGAGGAAUACCGGUGGCGAAGGCGACUACCUGGCCAGAUACUGACACUGAGGUGCGAAAGCGUGGGGAGCGAACAGGAUUAGAAACCCGGGUAGUCC